rnacentral:lncRNA from 1 species
CUUGGGUGGGGUGCAGGCGGGGUGCAGCAACCCCUGCCUCUCCUUCUUCUUCUUGGCCUUCUGGUUGGCCUCCAUCUUGACCACAGAGGAGGGUGAGGGCCCCAGCACGGCCACACUGGCCCCGGUGUGCAGCAGCAGCCCUGCUUCCCUGGGUGGUGCCUCUGUCCCCAGGAGACCCUCGCAGUCCUCACUGUCAUAGCCACUGCCUGGGAGAGAGGCAGAGGGGUCCUGAUGACUUGAUGCCCCGCCGAGGCCACGGAGAGAGGAGGGGCAGGAGGCAGCUGUUGUGCCAAGAAAGAAGGGGUGUCGGCAGCCGAGAGAGCCCCCACCACGCCAAGAAGAAACAGGGUGCCAGCAGCGUGGGGAGCCCCCCCACACCAAGAAGAAAGGGGGUGCCGGCAGCCGGAGGAGCCCCCGCCACACCAAGUGUGCCCUGGGCCACCUGAAGAAAGGGUCACCCUCCUCCUCCUGCUGUCGGCGCUCGGAGCUCCCCAGCCUUGCUUCGCUCAUCUGAGCAAUGGGUUUCGGCACAGGGCUGGGGAGAGUCUGCUACCUGCCAGGAAGGGACCUGAAGGGACCUGAAGGGCCCUGGGGCAAGGCGGGCGCCUCGGCACUCA